CGGGGCGUAGCGCAGCCCGGUAGCGCACUUGACUGGGGGUCAAGGGGUCGCAGGUUCAAAUCCUGCCGUUCCGACCA
rnacentral:tRNA from 4 species